CCUACGGGAGGCAGCAGUCGGGAAUAUUGCGCAAUGGAGGAAACUCUGACGCAGUGACGCCGCGUAUAGGAAGAAGGUUUUCGGAUUGUAAACUUCUGUCGUUAGGGAAGAUAAUAGAUUGUACCUAAGGAGGACGCCUUGGCUAACCAUGGGCCAGCAGCCGCGGGAAUAUAUAGGGGGCAAGCGUCAUUCGGAAUUAUUGGGUGGAAAGGGUGCGUAGACGGAAGAACAAGUUGGUUGUGAAAGCCCUCGGCUCAACCGAGGAACUGCAACCAAAACUAUUCUCCUUGAGUGUCGGAGAGGAAAGUGGAAUUCCAAGUGUAGCGGUGAAAUGCGUAGAUAUUUGGAGGAACACCAGUGGCGAAGGCGACUUUCUGGUCUAUAACUGACGUUGAGGCGCGAAAGUGUGGGGAGCAAACAGGAUUAGAUACCCUUGUAGUC
rnacentral:rRNA from 1 species